UACGUAGGGUGCGAGCGUUAAUCGGAAUUACUGGGCGUAAAGCGUGCGCAGGCGGUUUUGCAAGUCGGAUGUGAAAUCCCCGGGCUCAACCUGGGAAUUGCAUUCGAGACUGCAAGGCUUGGGUGCGGAAGAGGGAAGCGGAAUUUCCGGUGUAGCGGUGAAAUGCGUAGAUAUCGGAAGGAACAUCAGUGGCGAAAGCGGCUUCCUGGUCCAGCACCGACGUUCAGGCACGAAAGCGUGGGGAGCAAACAGG
rnacentral:rRNA from 1 species